GCGAAAACAGAGAAAAUGCCUGGUCAGGCACUGAUUCGAUCUUCCCUGACACGGAAGAGGUCACUGGUUCAAUCCCAGUAUCGCGCACCA
rnacentral:tRNA from 1 species